rnacentral:lncRNA from 1 species
UUGACGGGGCGGACGCCCAAAGAGCACGGGCGGAGACGGACACGGGAGUGGGGAGGCGGAGUGGAGACGCGCGGAGGAAAAAAGGGGAGGACCGACGUGGGGAGGGAAAACGGGAGAAGAAAAGGCGGAGGACUGUUUAAGGGGGUGCCGGGAGGAAGGGGUUGGAGAGGGGUGGAGGGAGCCUCGACGGGGAAGAAACUUUGGGCAGCUUUUCUCAAGGCUCCGCCGGGUGCCCCCCGCCUGCACUCGGAGUCGUCAGGCCCCGCCCAGGGCCGCUGUUUGCCGGGUAGAUUCUGCCCAGGAGACGCCGGUGAGACGGGAGAGUUUGGACGUGCUCGGGCGCCCCUCAAAGAUUUGGCUUUUCCUGCUGACAGCUCCCCACCCCCAUCCAAGGAACUCGGACCAGAGCGGUCCACGAGGGACAAGGGGAGGGAGGAGGAGUUAGAAGUCAGUCGGGAAGAUUUGGCAGUGGCCGCAGGCGGACGCCUGAGAAUCUGCUUCUUGGAGGAUCCCGCCUUUCCUCCCUCUCCUCACCGGGCCGGCUGCCCCGCGGCCGGACCGCCCCUGCUCAGCGCUCUCUGCUCCUCGCCGGCCGGGCGGGGACUCAGAUUUAACCCCACGGGGCCCACAGCCCGAAAAGCGCGCGGCACUCCCGUGUGGCCUCUACGGAAGUUGACUCGGGUCAGCAGCGCAGGCAGUCUGCCCACGGGCGGCGGGGGCAGGGAGUCUAGGACGGCUGUGGCCCUUCCCCCGUGGGCGGUCGGGGAGGACAGAGUGGAGGCAAACCCCUCCACCCUCCCCCCUCUCAGCUCAGACUGGGCUGUGGCCACUUCUAGCAUGGGAACCAGGUCUCUGAGCUCCAGAAUGAGGGGCUUAAAAAGGGGGUCUUGUUUUUUGCUUCUUUCUCAGGGCGGGAGUGGCAACACGCAGUGCUGGUUCUCUGGGAGAAGGGCAGGCAGAGUAGGUAGGAGAGGAGAGUGUUGCUGCUGUUUCUUCUGUUUUGAAAAGCCCCGGGCUUAG